UACGGGGGAUGCAAGCGUUAUCCGGAUUUAUUGGGUUUAAAGGGUGCGUAGGCUGUGAGGUAAGUCAGCGGUGAAAUGCCCCCGCUCAACGGGGUGAAGUGCCAUUGAUACUGCCUUGCUGGAAUGCGGAUGCCGUGGGAGGAAUGUGUGAUGUAGCGGUGAAAUGCAUAGAUAUCACACAGAACACCGAUUGCGAAGGCAUCUCACGAAUCCGCUAUUGACGCUGAUGCACGAAAGCGUGGGUAUCAAACAGG
rnacentral:rRNA from 1 species